AAAACAGUGAAAUUAAAGCUAAGUCACUCAUAGGACUACCUUCCUAAUAUAACCACUUUGGCUUUGUUGACUAUGUAAGACCUCAGAACUGAAACCAAUAAAUCAGGCAGUGGUGCGUGCCGAUAAUCUCAGCUACUGGGAAAUCUGAGGCAGGAGGAUCACAAGUUCAAGGACCACUGGGCAACUUGGUGAGACCCUGUCUCAAGUAAAAUUAGAAAAGACUGAGAAUGUAUAUCAGAGGCAGAACAAUCUUGGGUUCAAUCCAGAGUACCCCCAAGAAAAAGGAGAACAUAAGUCUGCAGGAGAAUUGUGCAUGAAUGUUCAUUUCAACAUUUCUGAUAGCCAAAAAGUGGAAAUAGCCAAAAUGUCCAUCAACUAGUUAAUGGAUAAAUAAAAUGAAGUAUAUCCAGGGACUGGGGAUAUAUCUCAGUGGUAGCAAAAAAAAAAAAAAAAAGUAUCCAUAUGUUUCAGAGGUACAUAAUAUAAUAUAUUUGAUGACUUUUUAGUAGGACUUACAGACUUAGCAUAUAAUCAUGUUGGUGGUUAAAACUCAUUACAGGCCAGAGACUGAGGGCAUAGCUCAGUGGUAGAAAACUUGUCCAGCACAUACAAGGCCUGAGUUCCAUUCCCAAAGCUGAAAAAAAAAAAAAAAUUCAUACAAUUUUGCUAUGGUUAGUGAGGCCUAGCCAGCCCAACCCUAAGUUCAUAUAAGGGAGGAAAAAAGUAUAAUAUUAUUUGCUGGGUAUGGUGGUGCUCGCCUGUUAAUUCUAGUGACUAGAGACUGAGCAAGAGAGUCAAAAGUUUGAGGCCAGCCUGGGCAAGUUAGGGUGAUCCCUGGGUUCAACCCCCAGAACUGGGGGGGGGAAGAAAGUGCAGUCAACACCUGUAAUCCUGGCUACUUCAAAGGCCAAGGUAGAAGGAUCACAAGUUCGAGACCAGCCUGGGCAGUUUAAUGAGGACUAGGGAUAUAGCUCAAUGGUAGAGCGCCCCGUGUCCAAUCACCAGUACUUUAAACCAGCAAAGGGGAAAGUUAUAAUGGAGCAAAGUCAAGAGGAAACCAGGCGAAAACUUCCAAGAGUCCUCCCUCAGUGGAGUCACACAGGAUGAACUUAAAACUUCCAGGAAUGAGAUAUGAUAAUGUGUGAAAUGUUAUCUACUGGGGAAACUUCAUCCUAAACUCCAUUCCUAAGAUUUUUAUCUGGAUUGGCACCCUCUGUCUAACACUAAUACCAAGAUUCAUACUCCCAGAAUGAAAGCAGGUAAACAGCAAUAACCAGAGCUUACACAAUGAGUUGCAGCAGAACAAACCAUAGAGAAUGGUGAAAAUCUUCCAAAAUCCUACUUCCUGGAUACUAGUCACACAUAGACAAUUAAACAGGCCUUUAUAAGGUUAGCUAUCUCAGAAUUGUGAUGUUAAUGCUUUUUUGCACACUACAAUGGAUUGUUAGGAAUAAAAUACUGAUAUGUGCUACAGCAUGGAUGAAUGUGGAAAACAUUACACUAAGUGAAAAAAUCCGGUAACGAAAGGCCACAUGUUGUAUGAUUAAUUGUGCUAAUAUGCCUCUAUCCCUUUUUCUCCACUGCAUACGAUCUAGUAUCAAAGUUCUUUUUUAAAAAUAAAACAUAGUAAAUCAAGGCAGGAAAAAAGCCCUCCAGAGCUUUGGUGAUUUUAAGAAGAUCCCUCUUCUAAACUCAAAAAAGUAAAUGAAAAUUUGAGUUCUGACUAGAUAAAAUGAUCUGCUUAUAGUUCCAGUCUAGAAUUUUCAGGGAUCUUUAUUUUAGCCAUCCCUGAUAAGUCCUGCCAGGGUAACUGCUGGGUGUUCGUUUUUUCUUCUUCCUUUCAUCCCAGAAGUAUUAUGUUAACUGGCUCUUUGUUAUAUCCAGAGCAAUUAUCUGACUCAUUUUCCUGUGAAAAAAUUUGAGUUUUUCUUUUAUUCUUCCUAAUAACCCCUGUCCUCCACACACUAGUUUUUAUUGAUUCCAGAUUCCCAUAAUCCUUCUAUGUAUCAGCCCUUUCUCCAAAGUAAUGUACGCUCUAUAGAAUAUUGAUAAAGUAUAAAAGUUUUCUCCACUUUUUUCUCAUUAAAAAUUAUAUAUGUGUGUGUGUGUGUGUAUAUAUAAAUAAAUAAAUAAAUACACCCGGUGUGGUAGUACACACCUCUUAUCCCAGUUACUCAGAAGGCCAAGACAGGAGGAUUACGAGUUCAUGACCAGCCUCAGCAAUUUAGCAAGACUGCUUAAGAGCAACUAAGACUUGACUGCUUAAGAGCAACUAAGACUUACCUCAAAAUAAAAAUAAAAAAGACUGGAGAAAUAGCUGGGCGUGAAGGUGCACACCUGUAAUCCUAGUGGCUGGGGAGGCGGAGGCAGGAGGAUCAUGAGUUCAAAGCCAGCCUCAGCAACUUAUCGAGACCCUAAGCAAAUCAGGAACAUUGUUUCUGUUUCUCUGGAAAAUCCUGACUCAUUACAAUCAUCACUGAGGUGUAUCCUCAGUUAAUGAAGUCAAGCACAUAACUCCAUAACACAUCUUCACAAGGACUUCCAGGUGUGCUAAGAGGACUGGCACAUUUCUCCUCUCCUUCAGAAGAGUAGGAAACAUCCGGUUCGGGAGGCUGAGACAUGAGGAUUGAGAAUUCAAAGCCAGCCUCAGCAACUUAGUGAGGAACUAAGCAACUCAGGGAGACCUUGUGUCUAAAUAUAAAGAGGACUGGGGAUGUGGCUCAGUGGUAAAGCACCCCUGGGUUCACUCCCCAAUACCAAAAACACCUAGUUUGAAAACUCUCUAAACUCCUUACUCUUCUUUUUUAUAAGGUGAAAGAGCAAAUAUUUGGGUUCCCUAAAAUGGCUUUUAGGAAACCCAAAUAUAUUUUAAGGAUAAAAGGCAUCCAGACAUUGUUAUUCUGAAUUUGGGGCCUAACGUGGUAAAGACAAAGUUUAGAAUUAUCAGAAGACAAGAUAUAUAUAGAAGUCAUAAUUUUAAAAGCUUAAGACAUAGUUUUUAAACAUUUAAAACUAUAGUAAUGGGGAAUAGUUAUUACUAGGAACUUAAAAGUGAGAGGGGAAAAAAUUUUUUUGUCAAAGUUAUUCUAGAGGAUGCCAGAAAUUCAAAGAAUUAAUAGACUUUUGGUGAUUAAAAACUAACUGAGGGCUGGGGAUGUAGCUCAGUGGUAGAGCACUUCUCUAGCAUACACAAGAUCCUGGGUUCAAUCCCCACACUGCAAAAAGAAAUUAGUAUAACUCUGAAAGGCCAAAAAGAUACUAAAAGUCUAGAUCCAGUCAAAACCCAUGCCUUCAAAGACAAACAGACCUAUAGGGGAGACUAAAGCCCUCAUGUGCUUAAUCAUUACUGAGUUAGGGUGCUAGUUCAUGGCCAUUCUUCAUGGUUGUUAUUCAAGCUCAGUGAGACUGAGACUAUCAGCGACAAACCUGUACUCAAAGAAAGUGAGAUUUACUAACAUAUUGCAACAAAAGAGAUUCUACAUAAGAGAAACUAUGAGAAGUCUCACCAACCAAAAUAAAUGACAACUUACAGGAUUGAGGGAAGGGUAACAUCUAGGUGAAGUUUUUAAAUGAAGCAAUGCUUUGAUAGGAUCAAAGCAAAGCAGGGUCGCACAUAAAGGGAGACAAAAUUAGGUCUGGGCCACAAUAUAUAGGCUCCUGUUUUCUUGGAAACUAUGAAGUUAAAGGGGAAGGUGGAAUGUCAUCUUCAGAAACCUCUUUGAAGCUCUGCACUUGGAUUGGAAAUCAGAUUUGCUUCUUUGUACCUUAGAUUGUCCAGCCAAAAGUGGGAUAUUUCAUCGUUAAAGUUUGUAUGUGAGGUGUCCCUCAAAAGCUUUGGGCGGGGGGCGGACAGAAAAUGCAAAAAGGUCCAGAUGAGAAAUGAUUGAAUUGUGAAAGUUUUAACCUAAUCAGUGAAUUAAUCCCCUGAUCUGGAUUAACUGAGCUGUAACUAAAGUGAAUAGCUGGAGGAGGGUGGAACAUUGGGGGAGUGGCUUUGGGGUAAAUAUUUGCAUCUGGAGGGUGGAGUUUGUUUUCUGAUCACCUUUUGAGCUGCUUCCCUCUGCCCCACACUCCACCAUGAUGUUUGGCCUCACCUCAAGCCCCAGGGAAUGGAGCCUAUUGUCUAUGGAUGGAGACCUCUGAAACCUUGAGCCCUCAAAUAAACUAUUCCUCCUCUACAAUUGAUCUGCUUGGGUCCUUAAGUCACAGCAAUGAAAACACUCUCUAAAACAUUUGUUCUUCCUGAUACAAUUUCAAGCAGCAAAGUUUCUAGUCUAUGAUUUUAGCAAAAUCUAAACUAACUGGAUUUCUUUCAUCAGGAUUAUUGUGAGAAUUAAACAGUUUUAGCAGGUGAAUAUGUUUAGCAGGGUUUGACCUUACCCAAAAUAUGCUAUCCAGAGUCCUUUUUAUUGGGGGGAUUGAACCCAGGGAUGCUUUACCACUGCACUACAUCUAUUUUUAUUUUUUUAUUUUGAGACAGGGUCUUGCUAAAUUGCUUAGGGCCCUUGCUGAAUUGCUGAUGCUGGCCUCAAACUUGAGAUGGUCCUGCACCAGAGUCUCAACCUACAUGGAGACUUGAUAGGUUAGGGAAAAUAAUUGUUUCUUUAAAUCAUGCUUGCUUAUUAUGUUACUCAAUUUUUUCAGUAGCCUCAGUUUUGUUUAUUUAAUUUAUUGGGCUUUUGAGAGAGGUGGAUUAGGUCAACAAGAUUUGUUUAAUUUUUCCUGAUUUC
rnacentral:lncRNA from 1 species